UCGACGAGUUUGAUCAUGGCUCAGGAUGAACGCUAGCGGCAGGCCUAAUACAUGCAAGUCAAGGGGAUAGCAAUAUCACCGGCGGACGGGUGCGUAACGCGUACACAACGUGCCCAAGGGCGGAGGAAAGCGGCGGGAAACUGCCGGUAAUACUCCAUGGUGUUGUUGAGUGGCAUCACUUAACAACUAAAGUACAAGCGCCCUUGGAUCGGUGUGCGUUCGAUUAGCUAGUUGGCGGGGUAACGGCCCACCAAGGCUUCGAUCGAUAGGGGGUGUGAGAGCAUGACCCCCCCACACGGGUACUGAGACACGGACCCGACUCCUACGGGAGGCAGCAGUAAGGAAUAUUGGACAAUGGGCGGAAGCCUGAUCCAGCCAUGCCGCGUGAAGGACGAAGGCGCUCAGCGUUGUAAACUUCUUUUGGAUGGGAACAAUAACUCCGACUUGUCGGAACUUGAGGGUACCAUCAGAAUAAGCACCGGCUAACUCCGUG
rnacentral:rRNA from 1 species